rnacentral:rRNA from 1 species
AUACGUAGGUGGCAAGCGUUGUCCGGAUUUAUUGGGCGUAAAGCGAGCGCAGGUCGGUUUUUUAAGUCUGACGUGAAAGCCUUCGGCUCAACCGAAGAAGUGCAUCGGAAACUGGGAAACUUGAGUGCAGAAGAGGACAGUGGAACUCCAUGUGUAGCGGUGAAAUGCGUAGAUAUAUGGAAGAACACCAGUGGCGAAGGCGGCUGCCUGGUCUGUAACUGACGCUGAGGCUCGAAAGUAUGGGUAGC